CCUACGGGAGGCAGCAGUCGAGAAUCAUUCACAAUGGGGGAAACCCUGAUGGUGCGACGCCGCGUGGGGGAAUGAAGGUCUUCGGAUUGUAAACCCCUGUCAUGUGGGAGCAAAUUAAAAAGAUAGUACCACAAGAGGAAGAGACGGCUAACUCUGUGCCAGCAGCCGCGGUAAUACAGAGGUCUCAAGCGUUGUUCGGAAUCACUGGGCGUAAGGCGUGCGUAGGCUGUUUCGUAAGUCGUGUGUGAAAGGCGCGGGCUCAACCCGCGGACGGCACAUGAUACUGCGAGACUAGAGUAAUGGAGGGGGAACCGGAAUUCUCGGUGUAGCAGUGAAAUGCGUAGAUAUCGAGAGGAACACUCGUGGCGAAGGCGGGUUCCUGGACAUUAACUGACGCUGAGGCACGAAGGCCAGGGGAGCGAAAGGGAGUAGAUACCCCAGUAGUC
rnacentral:rRNA from 1 species